GCCUGCUGCACGUAUUGCCAGGUACUGUGAUGUGGGCCAGGAAAACGACUUCCGUUAGAGGCUUUGCCGAUGAGCCGUGGGUCACGACGUUUCGCCAGUUCUGAUCCGUGGAACAGGAACGUGGCUUUUCUGGUAGUGCGGCCGCAUAGAGUUAUUGUAGGGUUCGUUUCCUCUCUGAAACUUGUAGAGGCGAAUCCGGGGUAGGAGACGGCGCAAGGGAUGGAUUUCUUGAUGCAGACUAUAAGCGGAUCCCCUGUGCUUUAAGAGGUCGAGGACAAUGAAGCCCCCCAUGGAUCUGCCACCUUCCACGGUGGCUGCUUUGGUGGGGAAGCUGGAACAAGCGCCGGCGCCAGUCUUGACUGUAGGCGCGCAGAUCUGGGAUGAAGAAGCCGUGGUGAUUGGAGGAAGGAAGAACUCACCCCCGGUGUCCGCGCAGUCGACCAGCAAGCCCGGGGUGGACUAAGAGUUCAUAAGGGCACUACCAGAAAAUGCGACAAGUUCUGCUCCUUCAACUGAGAAAUUCAUGAGCCGACCUGAUUCAGCAUUGCAUGUAUAAUUUUUAAAUGGGUUAUAUUAUUCUCACACAGUCCCAAGUCGUCGCAGACAUACAACCCGUCACUUGGGGGCUACAUCAUAUGAUGUUAUUCUUUUCAAAGGAGAAAUACAUGUAAGUCCCGAGUCGCUACAGGCAUACAACCCGACACUUGAGGGAUAUAGUGUUCAGUUGUUUAAACAGGUCAUAAGGUCCACAUUGAAGACCCGAUCCAUCACAUACUGAUGAGUCGGCCCUUGGGGGCUACGUUGGCUGAAGUUUUAUAAGUAUAAGACAAAUACAAGUCCCAGGUUGCUACAGGCAAGACAACCCGACACUUGGGGGCUACAUAAUCAAGAUAUUAUUUUUAUGCAAAGCACUAAGUCAUCAUGAACUGUUAAACUCGGAGCUUGGGGGCUACAUGUAAUAUGGAGAUAAAAAAAGGAAGAACACCUUCAAACCCUCGUGCCCUUAUGCUCAGGUGGGCAAUAGGUGCCCCCCUCUGGUGGGUCUUGGCUCCAUUAUAUUUCAUAUAUUCUAUAAAAAAUCUCCAAAAAGUUUUGUCCAAUUCCGAGAACUUUUAUUUUUGCAUAAAAACAACACCAUGGUAGUUCUGCUGAAAACAACGUCAGUCCAGGUUAGUUUCAUUUAAAUCAUGCAAAUUAGAGUCCAAAAUAAGAGCAGAAGUGUUUGAAAAAGUAGAUACGACAAAGAUGUAUCAUCUUGCCAGACACAGGUGACUACGCCACGGGGAUAGAGGAACACUUGAACGAGAACGAAGAACAAAACCAACAGCGAUGAUGAUGGUGUAGUGAGCAUGUGCAUGACUCAGGAGGGUACCGACACUCCGAGAGUUUUGUAAAGUAUUGCGAAGCAAAGGGAACCAUCACACCAUAACCAAAGGUCCACUUGAAUGUCAUUCGUGUGACCAUAGGGAUCGAUAUGGACGUCCACAAUGCGUCUCCAAUGUAUCUAUAAUUUUUUUAUCGUUUCAUGAUAUUAUAGUAUAAAUCUUGGAUGUUUUAUAUGUACAAGAAAUUAUAUAUCAUUUUUGGGACUAACCUAUUAACUUAGUGCCUGAUACGUCUCCAACAUAUCUAUAAUUUUUUAUUGUUCCAUGCUGUUAUAUUAUCAUUCUUGGAUGUUCUACAUU